rnacentral:lncRNA from 1 species
AAGUGCUGGAAUUGCAGGCGUGAGCCACUACACCCGGCCUUACCAUCUUCAUUUUACAGAUGCUGAUGAUCAGAGAGGAACAACAAGGGUACCAAUCCCUUGAGAAUGAAGACUUAAUGUACUUAACACAGGACCUGGCACACAGACGUGCCCCCUAAAUGCGAGCCGCUAUUAUGAAAGAGAGAAGUCUGAGGUUCCGAACUAUCAGGCAACACACAGGCUAUGAUAAUGGAUGGCUCAGACCGGGUCCCGUCCUCCAGGGACUCACAGUCUAGUGGAAAGGACAGUUCUAUGAACAGCAAAUGGCAAUAUAACCGGUUGCAGUGGCUCACGCCUAUAAUCCCAGC